rnacentral:rRNA from 1 species
UACAGAGGGUGCGAGCGUUGUCCGGAAUCACUUGGCGUAAAGGGCGCGUAGGCGGUCGCGUAAGCGUGUGGUGAAAGCCCGGGGCUCAACCCCGGGUCGGCCAUGCGAACUGCGGGACUGGAGCAGAUCAGAGGCCGGCGGAAUUCCGGGUGUAGCGGUGGAAUGCGUAGAGAUCCGGAAGAACACCGGUGGCGAAGGCGGCCUGCUGGGAUCUUGCUGACGCUGAAGCGCGACAGCGUGGGGAGCAAACAGG